CCUACGGGAGGCAGCAGUGAGGAAUAUUGGUCAAUGGACGCGAGCCUGAACCAGCCAAGUAGCGUGAAGGAUGACUGCCCUACGGGUUGUAAACUUCUUUUAUAAAGGAAUAAAGUGAUCCACGUGUGGCUUUUUGUAUGUACCUUAUGAAUAAGGAUCGGCUAACUCCGUGCCAGCAGCCGCGGUAAUACGGAGGAUCCGAGCGUUAUCCGGAUUUAUUGGGUUUAAAGGGAGCGUAGGUGGGUUGUUAAGUCAGUUGUGAAAGUUUGCGGCUCAACCGUAAAAUUGCAGUUGAAACUGGCAGUCUUGAGUACAGUAGAGGUAGGCGGAAUUCGUGGUGUAGCGGUGAAAUGCUUAGAUAUCACGAAGAACUCCGAUUGCGAAGGCAGCUUACUGGACUGCAACUGACACUGAGGCUCGAAAGUGUGGGUAUCAAACAGGAUUAGAUACCCUUGUAGUC
rnacentral:rRNA from 1 species